UAGGGAAUCUUCCGCAAUGGGCGAAAGCCUGACGGAGCAACGCCGCGUGAGUGAUGAAGGUCUUCGGAUCGUAAAACUCUGUUAUUAGGGAAGAACAAAUGUGUAAGUAACUAUGCACAUCUUGACGGUACCUAAUCAGAAAGCCACGGCUAACUACGUGCCAGCAGCCGCGGUAAUACGUAGGUGGCAAGCGUUAUCCGGAAUUAUUGGGCGUAAAGCGCGCGUAGGCGGUUUUUUAAGUCUGAUGUGAAAGCCCACGGCUCAACCGUGGAGGGUCAGUGGAAACUGGAAAACUUGAGUGCAGAAGAGGGAAGUGGAAUUCCAUGAGUAGCGGGAAAAUGCGCAGAGAUAUGGAGGAACACCAGUGGCGAAGGCGACUUUCUGGUCUGUAACUGACGCUGAUGUGCGAAAGCGUGGGGAUCAAACAGG
rnacentral:rRNA from 1 species